GGUGUGACUGCGUACCUUUUGUAUAAUGGGUCAGCGACUUAUAUUCUGUAGCAAGGUUAACCGUAUAGGGGAGCCGAAGGGAAACCGAGUCUUAACUGGGCGUUAAGUUGCAGGGUAUAGACCCGAAACCCGGUGAUCUAGCCAUGGGCAGGUUGAAGGUUGGGUAACACUAACUGGAGGACCGAACCGACUAAUGUUGAAAAAUUAGCGGAUGACUUGUGGCUGGGGGUGAAAGGCCAAUCAAACCGGGAGAUAGCUGGUUCUCCCCGAAAGCUAUUUAGGUAGCGCCUCGUGAACUCAUCUUCGGGGGUAGAGCACUGUUUCGGCUAGGGGGCCAUCCCGGCUUACCAACCCGAUGCAAACUACGAAUACCGAAGAAUGUUAUCACGGGAGACACACGGCGGGUGCUAACGUCCGUCGUGAAGAGGGAAACAACCCAGACCGCCAGCUAAGGUCCCAAAGUCAUGGUUAAGUGGGAAACGAUGUGGGAAGGCACAGACAGCCAGGAUGUUGGCUUAGAAGCAGCCAUCAUUUAAAGAAAGCGUAAUAGCUCACUGGUCGAGUCGGCCUGCGCGGAAGAUGUAACGGGGCUAAACCAUGCACCGAAGCUGCGGCAGCGACGCUUAUGCGUUGUUGGGUAGGGGAGCGUUCUGUAAGCCGUUGAAGGUGUGCUGUGAGGCAUGCUGGAGGUAUCAGAAGUGCGAAUGCUGACAUAAGUAACGAUAAAGCGGGUGAAAAGCCCGCUCGCCGGAAGACCAAGGGUUCCUGUCCAACGUUAAUCGGGGCAGGGUGAGUCGACCCCUAAGGCGAGGCCGAAAGGCGUAGUCGAUGGGAAACAGGUUAAUAUUCCUGUACUUGGUGUUACUGCGAAGGGGGGACGGAGAAGGCUAUGUUAGCCGGGCGACGGUUGUCCCGGUUUAAGCAUGUAGGCGGAGGUUCCAGGUAAAUCCGGUACCUUAUUAACGCUGAGGUGUGAUGACGAGGCACUACGGUGCUGAAGUAACAAAUGCCCUGCUUCCAGGAAAAGCCUCUAAGCAUCAGGUAACAUCAAAUCGUACCCCAAACCGACACAGGUGGUCAGGU
rnacentral:rRNA from 1 species